CAAGGAAUUUUCCACAAUGGGCGCAAGCCUGAUGGAGCAACGCCGCGUGGGGGAUGACGCACUUCGGUGUGUAAACCCCUUUUCGAGGGGACGAAGGCAAUGACGGUACCCUCGGAAUAAGGAUCGGCUAACUACGUGCCAGCAGCCGCGGUAAGACGUAGGAUCCGAGCGUUGUCCGGAGUUACUGGGCGUAAAGCGCGCGCAGGCGGACACGCGCAUCGGCGGUGAAAGCCCCCCGCUCAACGGGGGAGGGUCCGUCGAGAUGGCGUGUCUGGAGGCAGGGAGAGGCCAGUGGAAUUCCGGGUGUAGUGGUGAAAUGCGUAGAGAUCCGGAGGAACACCAGUGGCGAAGGCGGCUGGCUGGACCUGACCUGACGCUGAGGCGCGAAGGCGUGGGGAGCGAACGGGAUUAGAUACCCCGGUAGUCCACGCAGUAAACGAUGGGUACUAGGUGUGGCGGGAGUUGACCCCUGCCGUGCCGGCGCUAACGCAGUAAGUACCCCGCCUGGGGAGUACGGCCGCAAGGCUAC
rnacentral:rRNA from 1 species